rnacentral:rRNA from 1 species
CCCUUAGAUGUUCUGGGUCGCACGCGCGCUACACUGAUGCAUUCAACGAGCCUAGCCUUGACCGAGAGGUCCGGGUAAUCUUUGAAACUGCAUCGUGAUGGGGCUAGAUUAUUGCAAUUAUUAAUCUUCAACGAGGAAUGCCUAGUAAGCGUGAUUCAUCAAAUCGCGUUGAUUACGUCCCUGCCCUUUGUACACACCGCCCGUCGCUCCUACCGAUUGAGUGUGUUGGUGAGGAGUUCGGAUUGGCUCUUAGUGGUGGUUCGCCACCACCUAGAGCUGAGAAGUUCUCCAAACCGCCCCACUUAGAGGAAGGAGAAGUCGUAACA